rnacentral:rRNA from 1 species
AGUGAACGCUGGCGGUAGGCCUAACACAUGCAAGUCGAACGGCAGCACAGUAAGAGCUUGCUCUUACGGGUGGCGAGUGGCGGACGGGUGAGGAAUACAUCGGAAUCUACUUUUUCGUGGGGGAUAACGUAGGGAAACUUACGCUAAUACCGCAUACGACCUACGGGUGAAAGCAGGGGAUCUUCGGACCUUGCGCGAUUGAAUGAGCCGAUGUCGGAUUAGCUAGUUGGCGGGGUAAAGGCCCACCAAGGCGACGAUCCGUAGCUGGUCUGAGAGGAUGAUCAGCCACACUGGAACUGAGACACGGUCCAGACUCCUACGGGAGGCAGCAGUGGGGAAUAUUGGACAAUGGGCGCAAGCCUGAUCCAGCCAUACCGCGUGAGUGAAGAAGGCCUUCGGGUUGGAAAGCCCUUUUGUUGGGAAAGAAAAGCAGCAGGUUAAUACCCCGCUGUUCUGACGGUACCCAAAGAAUAAGCACCGGCUAACUUCGUG